rnacentral:rRNA from 1 species
UACGAAGGGGGCUAGCGUUGUUCGGAUUUACUGGGCGUAAAGCGCACGUAGGCGGAUCGUUAAGUCGGGGGUGAAAUCCUGGAGCUCAACUCCAGAACUGCCUUCGAUACUGGCGAUCUUGAGUCCGGAAGAGGUGAGUGGAACUCCUAGUGUAGAGGUGGAAUUCGUAGAUAUUCGCAAGAACACCAGUGGCGAAGGCGGCUCACUGGCCCGGUACUGACGCUGAGGCACGAAAGCGUGGGGAGCGAACAGG